rnacentral:rRNA from 1 species
AACGAACGCUGGCGGCAUGCCUAACACAUGCAAGUCGAACGAAGGCUUCGGCCUUAGUGGCGCACGGGUGCGUAACGCGUGGGAAUCUGCCCUUUGGUUCGGAAUAACAGCUGGAAACGGCUGCUAAUACCGGAUGAUGACGAAAGUCCAAAGAUUUAUCGCCAGAGGAUGAGCCCGCGUUGGAUUAGGUAGUUGGUGGGGUAAAGGCCUACCAAGCCGACGAUCAAUAGCUGGGCUGAGAGGAUGAGCAGCCACACUGGGACUGAGCAACGGCCCAGACUCCUACGGGAGGCAGCAGUGGGGAAUAUUGGACAAUGGGCGCAAGCCUGAUCCUGCAAUGCCGCGUGAGUGAUGAAGUCCCUAGGGAUGUAAAGCUCUUUUACCCGGGAAGAUAAUGACUGUACCGGGAGAAUAAGCCACGGCUAACUCCGUG